rnacentral:rRNA from 1 species
CGAUCUCAAAUCAAGUAAGACUACCCGC